rnacentral:rRNA from 1 species
UACGUAGGGAGCAAGCGUUGUUCGGAUUUACUGGGCGUAAAGGGCGCGUAGGCGGCAAAUUAAGUCAGCUGUGAAAUCUCCGAGCUUAACUCGGAACUGUCAGCUGAUACUGAUCUGCUAGAGUGCGGAAGGGGCAAUCGGAAUUCUUGGUGUAGCGGUGAAAUGCGUAGAUAUCAAGAGGAACACCUGAGGUGAAGACGGGUUGCUGGGCUGACACUGACGCUGAGGCGCGAAAGCCAGGGGAGCAAACGGG